rnacentral:rRNA from 1 species
AUGGCUCAGAUUGAACGCUGGCGGGCAGGCCUAACACAUGCAAGUCGAGCGGCAGCGACAACAUUGAACCUUCGGGGGAUUUGUUGGGCGGCGAGCGGCGGACGGGUGAGUAAUGCUUGGGAAUAUGCCUUAUGGUGGGGGACAACAGUUGGAAACGACUGCUAAUACCGCAUGAUGUCUACGGACCAAAGUGGGGGACCUUCGGGCCUCACGCCAUAAGAUUAGCCCAAGUGGGAUUAGCUAGUUGGUGAGGUAAUGGCUCACCAAGGCGACGAUCCCUAGCUGGUUUGAGAGGAUGAUCAGCCACACUGGGACUGAGACACGGCCCAGACUCCUACGGGAGGCAGCAGUGGGGAAUAUUGCACAAUGGGCGCAAGCCUGAUGCAGCCAUGCCGCGUGUGUGAAGAAGGCCUUCGGGUUGUAAAGCACUUUCAGUAAGGAGGAAAGGUUAAGUGUUAAUAGCACUUAGCUGUGACGUUACUUACAGAAGAAGCACCGGCUAACUCCGUGC